UAUCUCUGUAGAGUCUGCAUAUCAAUAAGCGGAGGAAAAGAAACUAACUAGGAUUCCCUUAGUAACGGCGAGUGAAGCGGGAAGAGCUCAAAUUUGAAAUCUUCAAGGGUUCUACCUUGACGGAUUGUAGUUUAAAGAAGUGUUUUCUGUUGGAGUUUUGGUAAAAGUUCUUUGGAAUAGGACAUCAUAGAGGGUGAGAAUCCCGUAUUUGACCAUUAUUUCCAGCUGUGUGAUACACUUUCAAAGAGUCGGAUUGUUUGGGAAUGCAGUCCAAAAUGGGUGGUAAAUUUCAUCUAAAGCUAAAUAUUGGCGAGAGACCGAUAGCGAACAAGUACCGUGAGGGAAAGAUGAAAAGAACUUUGAAAAGAGAGUUAAACAGUACGUGAAGUUGUCAAAAGGGAAGCGUUUGACACCAGUGUUGUUUUCUCGAAAAUCAAUUAAAAAGGACUGGAUUUUGUGUUGUAUUGACUUUAUCAGCUUUCUGCACUUUUUUCUUGUCUUUUUUAAUGCACCUUUCGUUUAACAAGUCAACAUCAAUUUCUUUUGUUGUAAAAGAGUCAUUGGAAGGUGGCUUUCACUUUCGGUGAAAGUGUUUAUAGCCUUUGGCCUCUGCAAUCGGAGAGAUUGAGGUCUGCAGCGUAGAUCCUUCGGGGUUAGAUACAUUUGUGCUAAGUUAUAGCUUUUCAUAGACAACAUUGUUGACUAUGAUCAAUCAUGUAGCUUACUCGCUUAUGUCUAUUUUACCUACGCUUAGGAUGUUGAGUAGCGACAUACGCAC
rnacentral:rRNA from 1 species